UACGGAGGGGGCGAGCGUUAUUCGGAAUCAUUGGGCGUAAAGGGCGCGUAGGCGGCUUGAUAAGUCAAAGGUGAAAUCCCUCGGCUCAACUGAGGAACUGCCUUUGAAACUAUCUGGCUUGAGGCCGGGAGGGGGUGGCGGAAUUCCCAGUGUAGCGGUGAAAUGUGUAGAUAUUGGGAGGAACACCAGUGGCGAAGGCGGCCACCUGGACCGGUUCUGACGCUGAUGCGCGAAAGCGUGGGUAGCAAACAGG
rnacentral:rRNA from 1 species